rnacentral:rRNA from 1 species
GCUAGCGUUGCUCGGAAUCACUGGGCGUAAAGCGCACGUAGGCGGCUUUCUAAGUCAGGGGUGAAAUCCUGGAGCUCAACUCCAGAACUGCCUUUGAUACUGGAGAGCUUGAGUCCGGGAGAGGUGAGUGGAACUCCGAGUGUAGAGGUGAAAUUCGUAGAUAUUCGGAGGAACACCAGUGGCGAAGGCGGCUCACUGGUCCAUUACUGACGCUGAGGUGCGAAAGCGUGGGGAGCAAACAGG